CAGCAGCCACGGUAAUACAGAGGGUGCGAGCGUUAAUCGGAUUUACUGGGCGUAAAGCGUGCGUAGGCGGCUUCUUAAGUCGGAUGUGAAAUCCCUGAGCUUAACUUAGGAAUUGCAUUCGAUACUGGGAAGCUAGAGUAUGGGAGAGGAUGGUAGAAUUCCAGGUGUAGCGGUGAAAUGCGUAGAGAUCUGGAGGAAUACCGAUGGCGAAGGCAGCCAUCUGGCCUAAUACUGACGCUGAGGUACGAAAACAUGGGGAGCAAACAGGAUUAGAGACCCGCGUAGUCCCUGUCUCUUAUAC
rnacentral:rRNA from 1 species